rnacentral:tRNA from 1 species
GCAAGAUUAGUUUAAUAAAAACGAUGGUUUGUGGUACCAAAAAUAGUCUAAUGGUUUAUCUUGUU